rnacentral:misc_RNA from 1 species
GAAUGGAUAACCAAAAAUAUUUGUCCAAUCUAUCUAGAAAGAUAAGAAUUUUUUAAAUCACACGCUUUUUGGUGACGUUGCUUUGGCAAGAUUUUGUUAUUGGUUCCCUUACACACAUGCAUACGAUUCAUGCGUAUAACAACCAUACUCUAUCUCUCUCUAUCUAUCUAUCUUUCUCACUAUUCACAGGUAUGUGUUUAAUAUAAAGGGGAUUCUAAAAUCCCCAAGCGUACCGAUAUCCAACAAAGUUAGGAUUAGCAUGUAACUUAAAUCUGUGUUAGUGACAUAUACAUGUCGCUCUAACGUAAAUCCAUUGAUUUGUUUUAAAAGUUAAACUAAACUAAAGGUACAACCUAAUGAUUAAUCGUAAUAAUAAAACAUUAUAAUAUUGAUUAAAAAUAUUAUUAUCUAUUUAAAAAUCGUACGUAUUCUAACCGAUAAUAACUGGGAAUGCUAAAAGUUUAUGUCAAGGUGGGUCGGUCAGAGAUAACUGUAAAAUGUCAUUGACGAAUGUGUGUCAGGCAUGGAGUUGACGCUCCUCGAUGACACUUGUGGAAACAAUCGACUCGAAAAUCCCGCAAUUUUCAAUUUAACUUGACUAAUUGAGGAAUACUCGAAUUUAAUACGAAUUCAAAACAAUUGUUUUUCUUCAAAAAUGCAUCCGAUACUCCCACAGCAAUACCAAGAGAUCUUCCAACUUUUUGACAGAUGUUUCAGUUAAUGACAGAUAUAGGAUUGAUCCUGAAUUUUCUAAUCAGCAUUACAUCCAUGUAUAGAAUAAAAACAAGUAAAAACAUGGAGGGACCAGAAGUUACAUUUCUAUUUCAAUUUGGUUUAACUCGUGACACAGUCACCGUAGAAGCUAGCACGUUGACGCUAAAAGCUUUAAAAGAUUUUGCGUGUAACUUUAUAAAUGCUAAGUGUCCGGAUCACGGGUUAAGUCAUCUGUACGAAAGAUUACUUCUGUUCAAGCAUGAUUAUAGUUCUACUAAUAUUUUACAAUUAAUAACCAAUGCGAUGGAUGUAGUAGAUGAAACACUAGUUGAAAUUGUUCUUACUGCUCAAGUGCCAAGCGAAGAUGUUCCCAUUCGUCCUCAUGCUUUAACGGUUCAUUCUUAUAAGGUUCCAACAUUUUGUGAUUUUUGCGGAGAGAUGCUGUUUGGUCUUGUGCGACAAGGUCUUAAGUGUGAAGGUUGCGGUAUGAAUUAUCAUAAACGCUGUGUUACUAAAGUACCUAAUAACUGUUCACAAGAUAGCAGUCAAAGGCGGCGUAGUUCUGCAAUGUUAAAUGUGCCAAGAUCACCAAGUCAAGGUUCUACAAGUAGCUUGACUAGCAUUAGUGAUGACAAUCAUAGUGCAAAUAACAUACCCAAUGUAAAUCAAAGUAAUAAUACUUUGGCAGUUCCAAGCAUAGUCACUCCUAAACAAUCUCGUUCACCGUCAUUGAGUGGAAAAACAACUUGGGUUGAAAAAGAGGUUGCAACUCGUAUCAAAAUUCCACAUACAUUCGUAUUGCACACGUACACACGUCCAACGGUGUGUGGGCAUUGUAAAAAAUUAUUAAGAGGCUUAUUCAAGCAAGGCCUACAAUGUAAAGAUUGUCAGUGCAAUGCUCACAAAAAAUGUAUUGACAAAAUUCCAAAAGAUUGUAUUGGAGAGAAUCCACGUGACAGUACUGGUAAUGAAUAUCCUGACAGUGGUGUUGGUAGCGAACCAGAAGGUAAAUGCGAUGGCAGAAAUGAAGAAGGUGAUGGAGACAGCGAUACAGAAUUACUUUUACCAGUUAAAUUGUCCACAUACAUAACGGAUGAAAAUAAAGCUCCUGAUGAGUAUACAGAUCACAUACAAACGAAUGAAGAUGUUAAUUACGAUGAAUUCCAAAAAUCCAGACCAUCUAGUUGCAGUUCUACUCCAAGUAACAACAUUCCAUUAAUGCGUAUAGUUCAGAGUGUUAAACAUACAAAACGACGUGGUUCGAAAGUUUUGAAAGAAGGUUGGAUGGUACACUUUACGAAUCGUGAUCCAGUGAGGAAAAAACAUUAUUGGCGACUGGAUACAAAGGCUAUAACACUUUUCCAAAGUGAUAGUAGUUCCAAGUAUUACAAAGAAAUUCCACUUGCUGAAAUUUUGUCGAUUGAAACAGCUAAGAUACAUCGUUCGCAUAUAAUGCAUUGCUUUGAGUUAAAAACAUCAACUGUUGAUUAUUUCGUCGGAGAAGAUCCUACAUAUGGUGAAAACAAUGGUCAAGUUCCAGCACCGGAAAGCGGCAUAGGUGUACACGUAGCUAGAUCAUGGGAAACUAAUAUUAGACAAGCACUUAUGCCAGUAACUACAGCUUCCACUAUAGCAGAUCAAGAGGAAUCUACAGAACCUGAAGAAAAUAUAACUGACAUGUCGCAACUCUAUCAAAUAUUUCCCGAUGAAGUUUUAGGAUCAGGACAAUUCGGUAUAGUUUAUGGUGGUGUACAUCGUAAAAGUGGUAGAGCAGUUGCCAUCAAAGUAAUAGAUAAAUUACGUUUUCCUACCAAACAAGAAGCGCAACUUAAGAAUGAAGUGGCUAUUUUACAAAAUCUAUCACACAGCGGGGUCGUCAAUUUGGAACGUAUGUUUGAGACACCAGAAAGAAUAUUUGUUGUUAUGGAGAAAUUGAAAGGUGAUAUGUUAGAGAUGAUAUUAAAUUCGGAGAAGGGACGUCUCAGUGAAAGAAUAACGAAAUUUCUUAUAACUCAAAUUUUGGUUGCUCUAAAGCAUUUACACAGUAAAAAUAUAGUCCAUUGCGAUUUAAAACCUGAAAACGUUUUACUCAGUAGUGACAAUGAAUUUACUCAAGUGAAACUUUGUGAUUUUGGUUUCGCACGAAUUAUCGGAGAAAAAAGUUUUCGGAGAAGUGUUGUCGGAACACCGGCGUAUUUAGCACCCGAAGUAUUGAGAAAUAAGGGCUACAAUCGUUCUUUGGAUAUGUGGAGCGUAGGAGUUAUUAUUUACGUAUCUUUAAGCGGUACAUUUCCAUUCAACGAGGAAGAAGAUAUCAACGAACAAAUUCAAAAUGCUGCAUUUAUGUAUCCGCCUACACCUUGGAAAGAAAUUUCAUCCGACGCUAUCGAUUUAAUUAACAAUUUAUUACAAGUAAAGCAAAGAAAGAGAUAUACGGUAGAUAAAAGUUUACAACAUGUUUGGUUGCAGGAUUAUCAAACAUGGUGUGAUUUAAGAGAAUUGGAAAAUAAAGUAGGAUACCGUUAUUUAACACAUGAGAGUGAUGAUGCACGUUGGACAGCAUACGGUGAUCAUUGCACAUGACAGAACCAUCCGCCUACUUUGAACAUCGAAUCAUUGCCAAUACCUUUGCCAAUACACAAAGGCUGGGUUCGUUGUGCUCGAGCGACACUGCGACGAUUCAUUCGUGCCUGAAUUGAUACAACAAGUGCAUGCAAAACAAAAAAUAUCAUAUUUAAACAAUUUUAAUUCAAAACGUAUAAUGUUGAACUAAUAGAUAUGACGAAAAAAAAAAAACGAAAAAAAAAAGAUAUUGCGAGACAAAAACGCAUCAUAAAGGCCUUUCCAGUCUUCGCACGCGCGAUAAUACUUCUUUUUUAUAAUAUAAUCGUCUCUCCGUACAAUUUUUCUAGCAUUCGAUGUUCGAAUAAUCGUAAGAGAAUAAUAAUAUCUCGCAUCGCGAUCGCGCUAUUUCAAAUAUUAAAUAUUAUUGAAACUAAGCUUUCAGCGCCUUACGUUGUUAAUACGCGUAUAUUGUUAUAAGAAAAAGUAGAAUUCAAAGCGAAAUGUGUUAGUAUAUAUAAUUAUUCAAGUAUUAUUACACACGAUCAAAAAUAAUAACUUCGAAACAAAUGGAGGAAAGAGCGUAUAAGAAAAAUAACAAAAAACAAAAAGAAAGAAAGGAAAAAUAAUGAAGAUAAAUCUAUUUGUACAAAUUUUUUGAAAAAGAAAAAGAAGGAGUCAAUAAGUUUGAAUUCCAUUUGAACGCGCAUAAUGUAACAAACAUUCCUCGUCACACACACAUUUACACAGACACCAUCUUUGUAAGUAUAAUUAUUAAUAAAUUAUAGAAGAGACAAAAAGCUAAUAAUAUUUGCAUGUAAGAUAUCAACAAAAAAACAAAAUGCUCAUAGCAUUUAAUAGAAAAAAAAUAAGAAAUGAGUGUAGAAAACUAUAUUCAAAACUUUAUUCAAACUAUACAUUGCGCGUGAUACGUGCAUGCAAGACGUUGCAUUCGCAGAGUUAAACUAUUUGAAUUGUUGAUAAAAAAGAAAAAAAAGAAGAGAAAAAAAGAAAAAAGAGAACAGUUUUGUAUAUCGAUAAACAAAAAAUAUAUAAAAAAAUAUUCUUAUCUCGCACGAAGCUAGAAUUGCGUGGUACUUAACUGCCAAACGAUUAUCUCAUUUUUAUUUUUAUUUCUCGUUGUAAUUCUACGUACUAAGAAAGUAAUAUAUACUUUCGUAAUAUUUUUUAUUAUUUGAUAGGACGAGAAAUGAAAUCGGUGAAAAAAACCGGCAGCUGAAAAAUUUGAUCUUUCGCGUACGUAAUAGAAUCUAUGUCAAAAAUAUAAUUUUUUUUUCUUACAAACAUUUGUGUAGCGUAACAGUAUUUUAUUAUAUUGUUUUUGCUUUAUCUUUUAUACAACAUAUGAUAUUGAGAUCUUUUUAGAACGCACACGAAUAAUAUUGAACAAAUGAAAA